AAAAAGUUCAUUUGGGUUGUCU
rnacentral:miRNA from 1 species